UAUCCUUAUUUGCCAGCGCGUUAUGGCGGGAACUCUAAGGAGACUGCCGGUGAUAAACCGGAGGAAGGUGGGGACGAGGUCAAGUCAUCAUGGCCCUUACGGGAUGGGCUACACACGUGCUACAAUGGCAGGUACAGAGGGCAGCAAUACCGCGAGGUGGAGCGAAUCCCACAAAGCUUGUCGUAGUCCGGAUUGGAGUCUGCAACUCGACUCCAUGAAGUCGGAAUCGCUAGUAAUCGUAGAUCAGAAUGCUACGGUGAAUACGUUC
rnacentral:rRNA from 1 species